UUAUCAUACUCUAUUCACCUGUUUGUUGAUGUUUUUACUAGCGCUGCGCAUUGACAUUCUUUUAUUAUUCCAGCUAUCGGCAACUUAAACGGCAUUGUAAAAGACUUGGUCUAAAGAGGCGGCCAAACUGGAAUCGUGCUGUCGUUCAAGCAGCUAUUUUGGCUGAAGUUCAGGGUACAGGUGGAAAUCUCGGUUGUCGGGCCAUGGCUAGUAGGUUGCGAACAAAGUAUGGAAUAAUGUUAGGGAGACAUACGGUACUGCAAUAUCAAAACAUCAUAGAUCCCGAAGGUGUUCAGGCCAGACUGUCAAACAGGCUUUUAAGAAGAGAAUACUUUAACAGAGGUCCGAAUUUUCUAAUUCACAUUGACGGUUACGACAAGAUAAAGAAGUAUGGGUUUGGAAUCCACGGAGCCAUUUGUGGCUUUUCGAGACGGAUUCUUUGGCUGAAAGUUGCACAUUCCAAUAAUAAUCCGAAUAUCAUUGCUGCCUAUUUUCUAGAGUUCGUAAA
rnacentral:lncRNA from 1 species